rnacentral:rRNA from 1 species
GAUGAACGCUGGCGGCGUGCCUAAUACAUGCAAGUCGAGCGAACAGACGAGGAGCUUGCUCCUCUGACGUUAGCGGCGGACGGGUGAGUAACACGUGGAUAACCUACCUAUAAGACUGGGAUAACUUCGGGAAACCGGAGCUAAUACCGGAUAAUAUAUUGAACCGCAUGGUUCAAUAGUGAAAGACGGUUUUGCUGUCACUUAUAGAUGGAUCCGCGCCGCAUUAGCUGGUUGGUACGGUAACGGCUUACCAAGGCAACGAUGCGUAGCCGACCUGAGAGGGUGAUCGGCCACACGGGAACUGGGACGCGGUCCAGACUCCUACGGGAGGCAGCAGUAGGGAAUCUUCCGCAAGGGGCGAAAGCCUGACGGAGCAACGCCGCGUGAGUGAUGAAGGUCUUCGGAUCGUAAAACUCUGUUAUUAGGGAAGAACAAAUGUGUAAGUAACUAUGCACGUCUGGACGGUACCUAAUCAGAAAGCCACGGCAAACUACGU